rnacentral:lncRNA from 1 species
CCCCGUACAAAAAAAAAAAAAAAAAAAGAACAAAAUGGCAAAAAUCGCUUUCUGUCUUGGAUCAUUGGGUGCAGCCUUACUAGGAAGUGAGCAUUAUAUAUCUGAAUCCAUUAAUUUAUGCAUCUAAUGUGUGGAGGCAUUGUUCAAGGCAUUGGAGUAUUCAGGGAAUAAACAAAACAAAACAAAAAAAUCCCCUCAGCCAGGCAUGGUGGCACAUUUCUGUAAUCCCUGUGCUCAGGAGGCUGAGACAAGAGAAUCACAAGGUUUUGAUUUUGGCUUGUUGUGGUGGUGGUGGGUUUUUUGUUUGUUUGUUGGCUUCUUUUGAGACAGGGUCUUGCUAUGUAGUUCAAGGUGGCCUUGAACUCACUAUGUAGUUCAGGGUAGGUUUUUUUUUUUAUUACAUUUAAGCAAAGAUUUGAAAGUGGGAUUAGUCGUGUGCAUGCGUAUCUAGGGGAAGAAAGUGCCAGGCUAAGGGAACAGCUCCACGAAGGCCCUUUGUUGGGAGCAUACCUGGCGGGUCUGAGGGACAGGGAGACUGAUGUAGCUGGGGCAGAGUGGUAGGCAGUAGGCGAUGAGUUCUGACAGUGGAGCAAGAGGAGUGGCAUGUGUUGUAGGGCCUCCUAGAAACCUAACAUAGUACCUGCCCAUAGCAGAUGCUCAACAAAUGCUCAGCCAGUCAUCUCUUAUCAGAUAGCAUUUAUCUGAGUAUUUAUUAAUUGUGUGUGUGUUGUUUAUUCCAGGGUCUUCUCAGUAGUUCUUCUAUAUACAUAAGAGUAUGAAAUUCACUGGGCAGUGGGCAUUAGGGAUGAAAGUGAACAUUGCAUUCUUACAACUGGAAGCAGGAAACUAGUAUAAAACAUCAUGGGGCCAGGGAUUUAGCUCAGUGGUUCUGCCGUCGCCUGCCUCACAAGUGCAAGGCCCCAAGUUCGAUCCCCAGUACCACUUCCCCCCCCAAAAUUAAACAUUGUGGCUGGUGAAUGACUGUACUAGGCAUUUCCUUUUUUUUUUUUUUUUUUUUUUAAGACAGGGCCUUGCUAUGUAGUCCAGCUGGCCUUGAACUAUGUAGCACAGGCUGGCUGGCCUUGAACCCUCAGCAAUCCUCCUGCCUCAGCUUCCCAAGUGCUGGGAUGACAGGUGUGUGCAACCAUACCUGGCAAAAGGAGCAGCUUCAAUGAUAGCUUUCUUUUACCUUUCAGCCCAAGUGCCCCUACAUUAUUUCUCACAGGUGGCAGUGAUACAACACUAAUUCGAUGUCAAGCAGCUAUGGGGUUUGUGCCUAAGGGAUCUCCAAUACUGUAAGUCCUACAUGCUUGCAUUUGAUAGGAGUUGGUUGAACGAAGGAAUGACUGAUCCACCUUCAGCCUAUUUUCCAUAGCCUCCAACAUGCAAGCUUUCCAAGAACUCUGACCACAGAAAUAUCACCCCCACCACAGAGGAAGGCACAGAGGGAGAGAUAGGGACUCACGGUAGACUAUCAGCAGGCUUUGGAGGGGCAGGAGGGAAGCCACAGGGAAGGGGUAUGUGGGACAUGUGGGAUAUGCAAGAUAUGCAAACAUUCUUGGCUCUUUAAGUCCAGGAAAUGAAACAGCAGUGGCUGUGUUAGCCCCAAGCUACAUAAUCUGCUGUUUCCAGCUUUGGCUGGAGAUAAGACAUCCCUGGGCUGAGCUCUCCUGGGUCCACAGAGAAAAUAAAUGGGCAAGUGAGGGAAUGUUUCAAAACAACGACUGCCUCAAAAUCCCCAAACAUAUGCGAUGGAUCAAACAUCCUAGAUGGAUCAGUCGAGUCAUCUUUCCGUAUGAAGAGAAGACAUACUUGACUUUCUCAGCCUAAAAAGGACUCAACCACUUUUUGUGUGUAUGGUUCUGGGGAUUGAACCUAGAGCCUUACACAUUCUAGGUAAGGGUCCUAUCACUGAGCUACAUCCCUGGCCCCUCAACCACAUUUCUUUCAUCGUUAUGUCCAUAAAUAGAAAUCUGAGAACUAAACCUUGCUGGGUUCCUUUGAACAGCAGCAUAUCACACUUAGUGCCGUAUUUACCCUCAGCACUGUUUUUGGUCUUCAGGAUUGAACCCAGGGCCUUCACACUGAGCUACAAGCCCAGCCUUCGUUAUUUUUAGUUUGAGACAAAGCUCGCAAAGCUGCUAAAUUGCCCAUGCCAGCACUUUGAGUUUGAGAUCUUCCUGCCUCAGCCUCAGGAUUACAAUUAUGCACCUGUGUUCUGGGAUCGGCUUCAGCUCAUGUACAAAAGUUCACCUAGGUUGCUGUGUUUCACUGCCUUUCCAUUUUCUUCAGGCCUAGGUUUGAUGGAAGCGUCAGUUCAUGCCGUGGAGACCUUCCUAUGAGCUAGAGAUCUUUUCAUCUUGAGUUCCAGUUUGUUCAUAUAAUACAGAAAGGCACUGACUUCAUUUGGAAUGUAGUUUUCUGAGCAGCUGCUCCGUCUCCGUGUCAUCCAGGGAGCCAGAGCUGGCCUGGAUGGACACCGUGUCUGUCUUCAUGCACACGUGAUCCCGCAGAAGACCCCCCCGGGAGCUGCGAAGCUGCUUCAGGUCAUCCCACUCCGAAUCGUCCCCAGACAGGAGGCAGAUUCCCUCGACGAUCUUGAUCUUCUCCUUGGUGUAGUUAUGGUCGGGCCCACCCUGGGGUGGAGAGUGGAGAUAGACAGUCAGUCCCUUACCUCUCUAGAAAGGAUCUCACAAUGAACUAAAAAACGGGGCCCUCGGGGCUUACUUGGCGUGGCAGGUACAGCAUCAUUGGAAUGUGCACAGCGGCCCAGCCUGGCAUCCCUCUCAGAGCACCUGUGGGUACAGGAAACUGAACAUGAAGAACAUCCCUCCCUGCUCUAGGGAAGGGCAGGAGGCUAUGAAAAGCAGUUUGGGGAGCAAGCUGGAAAUCUGCAGAGGGAAUACUAAAGACAUCAAUACUGUGCUCCCUUUCUUCUUUCUCUUUCCCUCAUACCAAGGAUUGAACCCAGGGUGCACUGAGCUACAUCCCCAGACCUUUUCUUUCUUUUUUUUGGGUACUGGGGAUCAAACUCCGGUCCUUCUGCUUGCGAGGGAGGCAGCGGAACCACUGAGCUAAAUCCCCGGCCCUCCAGCCCUUUUCUUUUCUUGUCUUCUCCUCUCUUCUUUUCUUUUCUUUAGACAGGGUCUUGAUAAGCUAAGUUGCUCAGGCUGGGCUCAAACUAGUGAUCCUCUUGCCUCAGCCUCCCAGAGUGCUGGGAUUACAGGCAUGCACCACCAUGCCCAGCUUUAAUACUAGGCUUUCUGAAAUAACCAGGAGAAGUAGGAAGCAGCCAAUAGCCAAGUAAAUCUGAUUGGCUAAGGAUUAUCACAAGGUCCAACUAUCACGAGGCAAAAAAAAAAAUGUUUUUCUUCCUUCACGCUUCCUCAAGGGAAUAUGCAAGACACCUGGACAGAGUGCUUGAAUAAGUAUCUCCAAAUGCUCAGAAGGCAACUUCAUUGGGGCAUAUUAUGAGCAGGCAGUUAAAGCCAUCUCCUAAAAGCCUGAAGAAAAAGCUACUUGCAAGAGCUAUGAGACCGAGCUGCACUGGCUCGUCACACAGAACUUGGACAAUAAGAAAAGGCCUGAGUAGGGCCCAUGGUUUUCUAAAUAAAGCCAGGGGCUUGGGGUGUAGCUCAGUGACACAGCACUUGCCUAGCAGGUGUGAGGCCCUGCAUCUGAUCCCCAGUACUGCAAAACAAUGAAACAAAACAAAUUUUUAAAGCCCAUAAAACAAAAACAAAACUCUAUUCAAUUAAUGAAAUAUAAUAUUUUCCACUGGCUUUGAGAACUCUUCUCUACUUGCUUAUUUAAAAUGGUGUUUGUGUGUAUGUAUGUGUGUGUGCUUGCACACGUGUGUUUGAUUGCUAGGGCCAUUACACCCCUUAGAAAAUCUUGCUCCAAGUCAUAAAGCUACAGCCUAGACCACUGGAGGACAGGUGCACAGACUAAACCUGUGAUGUGAGAACAGGUGUCCCAGAGACAGGAAGGAGGGAGAAUGCAUGUGGGAGACUCUUCCCAAGAGGUUUCUUUUGGAAGCUGUCCUGAAAGCCUCUCACUCUCAGAGAUAAAGAGGGAAUUGUUUGCCACAAUCCUCCAGCCUAAAGGGUGGGGCCCAGUGGUUAGUGAUGGGCUCUUCCUCCCCUCUGCCAGGAUUCACAAGCAGGGAUGAGCUUUCUGCUGGUGAGGUGGCGACUGGCAUCAAGGGGACCCCCAAUCCCAUACCGACCCUACUCACCUUCCUUCCACUUCCUCCAGGGCCGUACGGGUCCUGCUGGUAGAAGAGUGAAAGGUGGGGGGGCAGCGUGUUUCCGGAGCACUGGGGUAUUUUCACUCAUGCUGGUAGCCCUGGGAGCUGGGGGCACCAGACCAGGUACUGGAGAGAAAAGAGGAUUGGAGUGGGCCACGAGAGCCCGAACCUUUUCAUGUGGUCUAAGAGCAGUACCAGAGAACUUGGUGACGCAAUCUUUGAGGUGCCUUCAUCCCAGGCACCCUCAUUUAAUACUGUAAAUAGAAAGGAUGUGGAUUCACUGUGAAUAGUUGUGGGUGGGCCUACAAAGGUCAAAAAGAGAGAAUAAAGCAUUGAUGAACCCUACAGUGGUGCCCAGGAAUCAGGCAACUUGAAUUCCAUUUUGUUUUCUGAGACAGGGCCUUGCUAUGCACGUUCAGGCUGGCCUUGAAGUCACUAUUAGCCCAGGAUGGCCUCAAACUCUUGGUGAUCCUCCUGCCUCAGCCUCCCGAGUUGCUAGGAUUACAGGCAUGCGCCACAACACCCGGCAAGACUUGAAUUCUGUUCUAGGAAACACCAGAGCUCUGGCAAACCCAGAUCUGAGGGAUUCUGAACCCUAAACACCGCACUUUUGGUUACGCCUUCUGAAGGAGCACCCCACCGGGAAGGACAAAGUUGAGGCCACCAAUCCCCUGGCCUUCAAGGACCCUGCUGUUCUGGGGCCACACAGUCCCACUCACCCAGGGAGCAUGGCCUGCCAUCGGGCUCGCCAGGACAGGCACACCCGAAGUCCAAGGCUCUGGCAAAGCAGAGGUGGGUGCAGCCACCGCGUUGUUCACCCCACAGGCAUUGGUCCCUGGAAGCAAACCAGAUGAGCACCUGGGCCAGAACACAAUCAGAUCUCCCGAUUUAACACGACCCCACUUCCAGGGACAGCAGGGCAAGGAGCCACCCAGGACAGGGGGGAAAACGUGAGCCAACAGGCUCUCGGGUGGCCCCAGUGUCUUGGUCACCAGAUGUCCUCCGAGCGAGGUCAAGGAGGUGGGCUCAGAACCUGGGCCCACCUGUCUGCCGCUGAGGGGAGACCACGAUGAUGUCCAUGAGCCCCUCCACAUUGGCCAGCACCGUCUCCUUGCUGCGGCCCGAGUACUUGUCCACACGUUGGAUGGACUUAGUCUGCCAGUCUGUCCAGUAGAUCCACCUGUCCUGCUGCUCGGGGGGUCGCCAACAGGGGAAGUAGGAUUUGGCUGUCAGGCUCCAGGGCAGCCUCUGUGCCUGAGCAGGGCUAUCCCCUCUGCCCAAGGACAACCGUGUGUGCCUCGGAAAUGUCCCCAAACCCACACUCUUCACUGCCCCCACGGCAUGCCGAGCCGGACCUGGCAGUCAUUUCUGCACCUGAGUUUUCAUGUGCAAUGGGGACCUGGCUACAUGUCUGUCUGACUGUCCCUCCUGAUGGUGUUCUUCAAG